rnacentral:rRNA from 1 species
CGUGCAGGCGGUUUGGUAAGUUGGAUGUGAAAGCUCCCGGCUCAACUGGGAGAGGCCGUUCAAAACUACCAGACUAGAGGACGGUAGAGGGAGGUAGAAUUCCCGGUGUAGUAGUGAAAUGCGUAGAUAUCGGGAGGAAUACCAGUGGCGAAGGCGGCCUCCUGGACCGUUCCUGACGCUCAGACGCGAAAGCUAGGGGAGCGAACGGGAUUAGAAACCCCGGUAGUCCUAGCUGUAAACGAUGCAAACUUGGUGUUGGUGGGUAAAAUCCGCGGUGCCGAAGCUAACGCGAUAAGUUUGCCGCCUGGGGACUACGGCCGCAAAGGUUAAA